rnacentral:rRNA from 1 species
CGCAAGCCUGACGGAGCCAGACCGCGUGAGGGAAGAAAGCCUUUGGGUUGUAAACCUCUUUUCUCAGGGAAGAAGCUCUGACGGUACCUGAGGAAUCAGCCUCGGCUAACUCCGUGCCAGCAGCCGCGGUAAUACGGAGGAGGCAAGCGUUAUCCGGAAUUAUUGGGCGUAAAGCGUCCGCAGGUGGUGAGUCAAGUCUGCUGUCAAAGCCAGGAGCUCAACUCCUGUCCGGCAGUGGAAACUGAAUGGCUAGAGUGCCGUAGGGGUAGAGGGAAUUCCCGGUGUAGCGGUGAAAUGCGUAGAGAUCGGGAAGAACAUCGGUGGCGAAAGCGCUCUACUGGACGGCAACUGACACUCAGGGACGAAAGCUAGGGUAGCG